AUUCCGUGUUGGUUGAGCUUGUCUAAGGUAGGUGUCCUUGCUAGGUGAGCUUCUGCUUUAAAGCAUCACGUUGUAAUUUUAAAAGCAAGGUUGCCAGUUCUUUUUUUACCCAAGUGAUUUUUUAGCACGGAGAGAUUUCAGAUGCUGUUUGGUAAUGGAAGAUGGAGAGAGGAAAAGCAAGUAAAAGGCACGCUGUGCAUAGCCAGCGCAUCCCAUGUGCACCGUUGUCCCCCUGCACAAAGGAGAGGAGCAUCUCAGCAAGCUUGUCCUGGGCCAUGGAAGGGAUCAUACAAACAUCUGGACCGACGCGACAGGAGUUAGUUCUGCAGCUGUCGCAACGCUUUGAUCCCCUGCUGCUGGGCUGGGGCGUUUGAGGAAUGAUGCAUGUGCUGAUGUCCACCAGGCUUUGGGGAUGAGUCUGCGUAGCAGGGAGGGCAGGUGGUGAAGCUCAUGAAGCAAUGCCUGCAGAUGGGGUUUGCAGAGCAAGAGGUCCGUCCUGCAGGCCUUGUGUGACACGCAUGGAGCUGUAGCGAGGCUGCAUCAGUGUAAAACAGCAGAAAUGCACGGAGGUGUGAAGGAAUCUCUGUGUGUUUUUUAGUGAAGAACAAACUCUGUGUUCAGUUGUGAAUGAAUGAAUUCAGGCCUGCUAGUUGGUGUUCUUCUCUACACGGAGCCGCAAUUGAAAUGGACGCUCCUGGUGUGAUGUGCGGCCCCGCCCCGUGUUCUCAGAUCCGCCAAGUUGGCAAGGCCUGGCUCUUGGUUGGUGAGCUGUGCCCAGGUGAUAACCAUGGAAGCAUGGAAGCGUUACCCAGACAGACUGAGCAUUUGUCACCUGGGCAUUCUACAGAUGACAUAGGCAGUGGAAGUCAGCAUUGGAAGCAUGCGUGAGACCCCUGCAAAAGACUGGUGAAAGAGAUGGCUGCUCUAAGCCGCCCUUGAAGGGCACAAAGAAGGACCCUAGUGUGGAUUUGCCAUCGGCCCAGCAAGAGGCUCAACAGCACCGAGCGCCGUGUCGUGCACUUUGGUCAUGCCAACCCCAUGCCAGCUUCUCCAGGAUUUGGCUGGGAUAGAAUUCCAACCACCAACGGAUUUCUCGAACGCUGGGGUGCCCUUUUGGAAUCCUAUGGUCUUGUGACGUGGUCUUGCCUCCCCACCUUGCCCAUCCAUGGUGGAGCAGCCGGGUGGCCCUUAGUGAUGUCACAAGCGGCUAGAAUGAGGGGAGGAGCAGCGCGUGCUGCUUCCCUUCAUUGGAGCGCUUGAGCUCAGCGUGAGUACGUGGCUUGUUGCACUUGUGCAUCGAGUGAGUCUGUUCGUCUUCAGCCCGUCUUGCGCAGCGUCUUGUAGGUAAGCUGAGCCGGUGCGGGAUAGACGGGUGGGCAGCGAGGGCUUGAGAAGUGCUGGCUGGCGGAGCUCCUAGGAUCAUAUUGCUUAGUCUGGACCGUCAGACGCCAUUUUCCCGCAGGCCAUCCAUCCAUC